rnacentral:rRNA from 2 species
GCGGCUGUAGCGCGGUGGUCCCACCUGACCCCAUGCCGAACUCAGAAGUGAAACGCCGUAGCGCCGAUGGUAGUGUGGGGUCUCCCCAUGCGAGAGUAGGGAACUGCCAGGC